AAAUUAUAAACGAAAUGAAAAAAAAAAAAAAGAAACGAACAAUAACAAUAUAAUAUGCCCCCUUUGAAAGGGAUAACAAGGAACCGCCCAGGGUAUCGUAUAGAACACCCUGUUAUAGAUACAUGAACAACGAACAGGGGAUCCUAUAGACCGCCCUGGGGAUCCUAUAAAACGCCCUAUAGCAGAUACACGAAUAUUGCACAACAGGUGAUCCUAUAGACCCAACAGGGGAUCCCAUAGAACGCUCCCUAGUAGAUACAUGAUUACUUAACAACGGGAUCCUAUAGAACACCCUAUAGCAGAUACACAAUUAUUAAACCACAGGGAAUCCUAUAGACCGCCCAGGGGAUCCUGUAGAACGCCCUCCAAUAGAUACAUUAUGAACAAACAACAGGGCUCCUCUAGACAGACCUAGAGAUUCUAUGGACCGACCCGGGGAUCUUAAAGAACGCCCUAUAGCAGAUGCACGAUUAUUAAACAAUACCAACCAACAGGGGAACAUAUAGACGGCCCAGAGGAUCUUAAAGAACGUCGUAUACUAGAAACAUAAUGAACAAACAGCAGGUUAUUCUAAAGACCGCCCCGGAGAUCCUAUAGAACGCCCUUCAGCAUGCAGAUACAC
rnacentral:lncRNA from 1 species